rnacentral:lncRNA from 1 species
UGAUUGACAGCCAACCCCCUUAAAGGGACAGGCCUGCUUUCCUCCUCCUCUCCUCCUCCCCUUCUCCUCCCCUUGUUCCCACCUCCUCAGGGAUACUCCCUUCUCUAAGGACUCUAUCUUCUCUUUCUGUCUUUCACUGCCAAUUGCUUCAUUUUCUUUUUUCUUUUUUUCCCUAAGGCUUGUCUGUAUGGAAUUUCACUUUGCUGCAGAGACAUCUGGAAAUGUGUUUUCGGGAUGGAAACAAAAAGAAGCGGUCCCGGAAGCCUCCAACUGAUCCUUGGAUCUAUUUGGUGCGGGAUGUGGCAUCACAAGUGUCAGGAGCCGUGGAAGUGGUAGCCCUGGAGCCUCGGAGAGACGUAACUCUCUUGACCUUGAGGCCCACAUCCUCCCAUGGAUCGCCUGUGAGGAAGCUGGUUGGCAUAUAAACUGGAGGAGUACCUGUUGGAAGACUACAGGGAAGGAAGGUAUCAUAUCAAAGAGAAGCCAUGACAAUAAGCCAGCAGGUCCCACAGCAUAUCUAAAGUGCUGGGGACGGAAACACCAAAGCUUCAUUGAGGGUUAAGCCCUGGACUGAGAAACCAGAGCAGAAAGAAACCCUCAGCUGCCAGAUUCACAGUCUAAUAGAAAAAGAAGACGUAUAGCAUCACCAUGGCAACCAGCCUCCAAAGGCCCCCAGCACCUGCUCCUUUCUACACAAGAUUUCCCCAAACAGGGAUAUUUCUUACUUCCUUGUUUUUCUUUUCAAUAAAGAUGUUAAUUUUAUUUCCCCUCA